rnacentral:rRNA from 1 species
GUGAGGAAUAUUGGUCAAUGGGCGGGAGCCUGAACCAGCCAAGUCGCGUGAAGGAAGAAGGAUCUAUGGUUCGUAAACUUCUUUUGCAGGGGAAUAAAGUGCAGGACGUGUCCUGUUUUGUAUGUACCCUGAGAAUAAGGAUCGGCUAACUCCGUGCCAGCAGCCGCGGUAAUACGGAGGAUCCGAGCGUUAUCCGGAUUUAUUGGGUUUAAAGGGUGCGUAGGUGGUUUGAUAAGUCAGCGGUGAAAGUUUGCAGCUUAACUGUAAAAAUGCCGUUGAAACUGUCGGACUUGAGUGUAAAUGAGGUAGGCGGAAUGCGUGGUGUAGCGGUGAAAUGCAUAGAUAUCACGCAGAACUCCGAUUGCGAAGGCAGCUUACUAAGCUACAACUGACACUGAAGCACGAAAGCGUGGGGAUCAAACA